GAUGAAGAACGCAGCGAAAUGCGAUAAGUAAUGUGAAUUGCAGAAUUCAGUGAAUCAUCGAAUCUUUGAACGCACAUUGCGCCCGCCAGUAUUCUGGCGGGCAUGCCUGUUCUAGCGUCAUUUCAACCAUCAAGCCCCAGGCUUGUGUUGGGGACCUGCGGCUGCCGCAGGCCCUGAAAACCAGUGGCGGGCUCGCUGUCACACCGGGCGUAGUAGAUUUUAUCUCGCUCAGGGCGUGCUGCGGGUUCCGGCCGUUAAAAAGCCUUUUUUACCCAAGGUUGACCUCGGAUCAGGUAGGAAGACCCGCUGAACUUAAGCAUAUCAAUAAGCGGAGGA
rnacentral:misc_RNA from 1 species